rnacentral:rRNA from 1 species
AACGAGAACCUCCCUUCGGGGAGGGGACAGUGGCGCACGGGUGAGUAACACGUGGGUAAUUUACCUUUGGGUGGGGAACAACAGCCGGAAACGGCUGCUAAUACCGCAUAAUGCAGCGGCUCGACAUCGAGACAGUUGUUAAAGCGGGGGAUCGCAAGACCUCGCGCCUGAAGAGAAGCCCGCGGCAGAUUAGCUAGUUGGUAGGGUAAUGGCCUACCAAGGCGACGAUCUGUAACCGGCCUGAGAGGGCGGUCGGUCACACUGACACUGACAUACGGGUCAGACUCCUACGGGAGGCAGCAGUCGGGAAUUUUGGGCAAUGGGCGAAAGCCUGACCCAGCAACGCCGCGUGAAGGAUGAAGCUUUUCGGAGUGUAAACUUCACAAGAAUUGGAAGAAUAAGUGUGGGAUAAUACCCUUCACGAUGACGGUACCAUUUGUAAGCUCCGGCUAACUCCGUGCCAGCAGCCGCGGUAAUACGGGGGGAGCAAGCGUUGUUCGGAUUUACUGGGCGUAAAGGGCGCGUAGGCGGCGCGACAAGUCACUUGUGAAAUCUCUGGGCUCAACCCAGAACGGUCAAGUGAUACUGUCGUGCUAGAGUGCGGAAGGGGCAACUGGAAUUCUUGGUGUAGCGGUGAAAUGCGUAGAUAUCAAGAGGAACACCUGCGGCGAAGGCGGGUUGCUGGGCCGACACUGACGCUGAGGCGCGAAAGCUAGGGGAGCGAACGGGAUUAGAUACCCCGGUAGUCCUAGCCUUAAACGAUGAAUGCUUGGUGUCCGGAGUUAGAUAGUCUCCGGGUGCCGUCGCUAACGCUUUAAGCAUUCCGCCUGGGGAGUACGGUCGCAAGACUGAAACUCAAGGAAUUGACGGGGACCCGCACAAGCGGUGGAGCAUGUGGUUUAAU